CGUGGGUAACCUACCUAUAAGGACUGGGAGUAAACUUCGGGGAAACCGGAGCUAAUACCGGAUAAUAUUUCGAACCGCAUGGUUCGAUAGUGAAAGGUGGUUUUGCUAUCACUUAUAGAUGGACCCGCGCCGUAUUAGCUAGUUGGUAAGGUAACGGCUUACCAAGGCGACGAUACGUAGCCGACCUGAGAGGGUGAUCGGCCACACUGGAACUGAGACACGGUCCAGACUCCUACGGGAGGCAGCAGGG
rnacentral:rRNA from 1 species